GACAGAGGUGCCAAGCGUUAGGCGGAAUCACUGGGCUUAAAGCGUGUGUAGGCGGAUGCCUAAGUACCUUGUGAAAUCCCACGGCUCAACCGUGGAACUGCUGGGUAUACUGGGCGUCUUGGGUCAUCUAGGGGCUGCCGGAACAAAUGGUGGAGCGGUGAAAUGCGUAGAUAUCAUUUGGAACGCCAACGGCGAAAGCAGGCAGCUGGGGAUGCACCGACGCUGAGACACUAAAGCCAGGGGAGCGAACGGG
rnacentral:rRNA from 1 species